rnacentral:rRNA from 1 species
UACGAGGGGGGCAAGUGUUGUUCGGAAUUACUGGGCGUAAAGGGAGCGUAGGCGGGCUCUUAAGUUGGAUGUUUAAAACCGGGGCCUAACCCCGGCGUGGCAUCCAAAACUGGGAGUCUUGAAUGGGACAGAGGCCAGUGGAAUUGGAGGUGUAGCGGCGGAAUGCGUAGAGAUCUCCAAGAACACCAGUUGCGAAGGCGGCUGGCUGGGUCCACAUUGACGCUGAGGCUCGAAAGCGUGGGGAGCAAACAGG